rnacentral:misc_RNA from 1 species
GAUGAAGAACGUAGCGAAAUGCGAUAAGUAAUGUGAAUUGCAGAAUUCAGUGAAUCAUCGAAUCUUUGAACGCACAUUGCGCCCGCCAGUAUUCUGGCGGGCAUGCCUGUUCGAGCGUCAUUUCAACCAUCAAGCCCCCGGCUUGUGUUGGGGACCUGCGGCUGCCGCAGGCCCUGAAAAGCAGUGGCGGGCUCGCUGUCACACCGAGCGUAGUAGAUUUUAUCUCGCUCAGGGCGUGCUGCGGGUUCCGGCCGUUAAACCACCUUCAUAACCCAAGGUUGACCUCGGAUCAGGUAGGAAGACCCGCUGAACUUAAGCAUAUCAAUAAGCGGAGGA